CAAUGAACUGCCACAUGUUAUGCUCCACGCCUUUCCCCAGGCUCCGCGCGCGUUGUUCCUUAGUUGCUAACCAUGGUUAUUAGAUAACCUUUUUUAACACCUACAGUAAAAUAAGCAAAGGGUGGGAGGCCUACAGUUAACCAAAUAUUUGCAAUUACUUGGAUUCAGUUUGACCUGACAAACCAAAAUGAUAUCUGUAUCCAAAAAUCUGUUUCGGAAAACGUAGGAAAUGCAGUCCUAGGGGUGGAAGAAAAUUUCCAGUGAUGUAACUAGCGGGUGACGGGGGGGGGGGCACGCCAGGAAUGACCAUAAAAAUGUUUGCUUGUACAUUUCCGAGGAAUUGAAUAAUGAAAACAGAAAAGCAGUUAUCAAAAUACAUGAAUUAGCAGUUAGAAUAUAUGUAAUUGCAAAAUAUUCUCACAAUAGGCCUACCUCUAGCUAGCUGAUUCGAGGCAGGUACAGUUCUACUUUACGCGAAAUGCGAAUGCUAUGUUGAACAGGUACUGUAAUGUAAUAUAGUUUAUUUCUAAAAUAAAAACAUAUAACUUUCGCAUGGCGAUUGUGUUGCCAGAAAUACACCCUGUUGUUUAGUGGGAGAUGGGACCAGGGACGGCCAAUUGAUGGG